CCUACGGGAGGCAGCAGUGGGGAAUAUUGGGCAAUGGACGCAAGCCUGACCCAGCAACGCCGCGUGCAGGAAGAAGGCUUUCGGAUUGUAAACUUCUUUUGUCAGGGACGAAACAAGUGACGGUACCUGACGAAUAAGCCACGGCUAACUACGUGCCAGCAGCCGCGGUAAUACGUAGGUGGCAAGCGUUAUCCGGAUUUACUGGGUGUAAAGGGCGUGUAGGCGGUACUGCAAGUCAGAUGUGAAAACCACGGGCUCAACCUGUGGCCUGCAUUUGAAACUGUAGUUCUUGAGUACUGGAGAGGCAGACGGAAUGCCUAGUGUAGCGGUGAAAUGCGUAGAGAUUAGGCGGAACACCAGUGGCGAAGGCGGUCUGCUGGACAGCAACUGACGCUGAGGCGCGAAAGCGUGGGGAGCAAACAGGAUUAGAUACCCGGGUAGUC
rnacentral:rRNA from 1 species